CACUAAUGCCCACAGCUUGGGAUGAAGUUAACAAGCCACCACAACAUAUCCGAUGGGCACUAAUCCAUGCCAGGCUCUGUGGUGUAAGACGGUGGCAAAAGUUCAAGUCCCUGGAUGGCCAGUGAUGAACAGUGAGAUCUUGAGUGGAGUCAAUUCAGGAACUUGGCUGAGGUUCUGCCCUACUUUGAACUCUGAGUGAUCCCUGUGCUUCUGUAGCUGGUCCCUCUGUCUGCGAGCUGGGUCAUGCCGAAUGCCAGCCAUGGUCUCACACAUCUGUCUCCUCACUAGACAGCAAGUGCUGCUACAAGUUGUGCAACGUGCUUAAACAUCACACGCCGAACAGGAGGCAGAGCCUGUCUAACUUCAAAGCACACACUCUUCACUCUGUUAAACUGAUGGAGGGGAAAAUGAACAAAACCAAGUGCCGGCUGCGUCCAGGCUGAGCUGGAGGAAGGCCAUUACUGGAGAUCCCUGACUCCUGCCCAGCAUAUGAUGGAGGCCUGAGAAAAAAAUACACUAAGAGACAGAACUAAGAGAGAGACAGCAAGGUGCCAGGACAACCAAUGCCAGUGGAACCAUCAAAGGUGCUGGAAGGCUUCUUGUCCAAGUCCUCUGAAAAUGCACAUAGUACAUUUUUUGGACCUGCACAGAAGAACCUGCAGAAUUGUUAUACUCAGGAAGUGGGGAGCAACUCAUUCUACGGCUUUCUGCUCCAGGACUACCCUCGACAUUCAGAAUAAAUGCCACUUUUGCUUAAUUCUUAAACAGAUGG
rnacentral:lncRNA from 1 species